rnacentral:rRNA from 1 species
GAUGAACGCUGGCGGCGUGCCUAAUACAUGCAAGUCGAGCGAAUGGAUUAAGAGCUUGCUCUUAUGAAGUUAGCGGCGGACGGGUGAGUAACACGUGGGUAACCUGCCCAUAAGACUGGGAUAACUCCGGGAAACCGGGGCUAAUACCGGAUAACAUUUUGAACCGCAUGGUUCGAAAUUGAAAGGCGGCUUCGGCUGUCACUUAUGGAUGGACCCGCGUCGCAUUAGCUAGUUGGUGAGGUAACGGCUCACCAAGGCAACGAUGCGUAGCCGACCUUAGAGGGUGCGAGGCCACACUGGGACUGCGCGAGGGCCCAGACUCCUAUGGGAGGCAGCAGUAGGGAAGCGUCCGCAGUGGACGAAAGUCUGACGGAGCAACGCCGCGUGAGUGAUGAAGGCUUUCGGGUCGUAAAACGCUGUUGUUAGGGAAGAACACGUGCUAGUUGAAUAAGCUGGCACCUUGACGGUACCUAACCAGAAAGCCACGGCUAACUACGUGCCAGCCGCCGCAGUAA